rnacentral:rRNA from 1 species
CUACACAUGCAGUCGAGCGGCAGCGGGUCCUUCGGGAUGCCGGCGAGCGGCGGACGGGUGAGUAAUGCCUAGGAAUCUGCCUGGUAGUGGGGGAUAACUCGGGGAAACUCGAGCUAAUACCGCAUACGUCCUACGGGAGAAAGCGGGGGAUCUUCGGACCUCGCGCUACCAGAUGAGCCUAGGUCGGAUUAGCUAGUUGGUGAGGUAAAGGCUCACCAAGGCGACGAUCCGUAGCUGGUCUGAGAGGAUGAUCAGCCACACUGGAACUGAGACACGGUCCAGACUCCUACGGGAGGCAGCAGUGGGGAAUAUUGGACAAUGGGCGAAAGCCUGAUCCAGCCAUGCCGCGUGUGUGAAGAAGGUCUUCGGAUUGUAAAGCACUUUAAGUUGGGAGGAAGGGCAGUAAGUUAAUACCUUGCUGUUUUGACGUUACCGACAGAAUAAGCACCGGCUAACUUCGUGCCAGCAGCCGCGGUAAUACGAAGGGUGCAAGCGUUAAUCGGAAUUACUGGGCGUAAAGCGCGCGUAGGUGGUUUGAUAAGUUGGAUGUGAAAGCCCCGGGCUCAACCUGGGAAUUGCAUCCAAAACUGUCUGACUAGAGUAUGGCAGAGGGUGGUGGAAUUUCCUGUGUAGCGGUGAAAUGCGUAGAUAUAGGAAGGAACACCAGUGGCGAAGGCGACCACCUGGGCUAAUACUGACAC